rnacentral:rRNA from 1 species
GACGAACGCUGGCGGCGUGCCUAAUACAUGCAAGUAGAACGCUGAAGGAGGAGCUUGCUCUUCUGGAUGAGUUGCGAACGGGUGAGUAACGCGUAGGUAACCUGCCUGGUAGCGGGGGAUAACUAUUGGAAACGAUAGCUAAUACCGCAUAAGAGUAGAUGUUGCAUGACAUUUGCUUAAAAGGUGCAAUUGCAUCACUACCAGAUGGACCUGCGUUGUAUUAGCUAGUUGGUGGGGUAACGGCUCACCAAGGCGAGGAUACAUAGCCGACCUGAGAGGGUGAUCGGCCACACUGGGACUGAGACACGGCCCAGACUCCUACGGGAGGCAGCAGUAGGGAAUCUUCGGCAAUUGACGGAAGUCUGACCGAGCAACGCCGCGUGAGUGAAGAAGGUUUUCGGAUCGUAAAGCUCUGUUGUAAGAGAAGAACGAGUGUGAGAGUGGAAAGUUCACACUGUGACGGUAUCUUACCAGAAAGGGACGGCUAACUACGUG